GGAGGUGGCAAGCCGGAACAAGGCACACAAAUGCCAGGUGCUCGUAGAGGGCUGGAUACAAUGGGGGCUUCACUACCAGGCCUGUCAGCUGAGUGGAAGGUCAACCAGUCCAACUUCUCAUGUUUCAGAAGAGGAAAGCAAGAUAUGUUUCAAACUUUGAUGAAAAGCAGGGAAGUUUGGGAAGAAAAUCCAAGACUUCUCUGGAGAGAGAUUAUCUCUGUGAAUGUGGUGUAGGCAGCAGGGCACCCCGCCCUCUCUGUUCUUCUUCGGAUACCUUAAGGACAUGAAUGCAAAGCCUGGGGUCUACAUGACAGGCUGAGUCAAUGCUUGGCUGCAUGGGGCUUUAAAGGGGGCCGCCUUCCUUCCAAGGGCCUCAGUUUCCCUAAAUGAGGGAAAUUGGACUAAACCCGCUCUGGAGACUUUUCCAGGGCUGGCAUUCACUGAGACCAUCAGAAACAGUUUUUUCUUCUGACCCUACCCAGAAAACAGAGGAACAUAGAGUUCCAGGUGAGCAGAAGUGGCCUCCCCA
ensembl:lncRNA novel transcript